GAGGAAACCGGUGCGACACCGGUGCGGUCCCGCCACUGUGACCACGACUCGACGGGUCGUGGGAGCCAGGAACUC
rnacentral:ncRNA from 2 species